GUAAAGGGUGUGUACCUGCCCCGUUGCAAAGGGUUGGGCGGGAAUAAGAAACUGGAACUAACCUUGGGGAAUUGGAAAAGUAAACAACAAAAAAAUUACCAAGACAGUGUGCCUGAUGUGAACUCUUAAAAUGAAACACGUAAGGAUGACAAAGCAUGCAAGGUAAAGUACACUGAGAAAGAGGAGGUAGAAGAGAAGCUUGGAACUAAUAGGGUUCGAAAGGGAGGACUAGCGGUGAUGAGUGAGAAUGACGAAGAGAACUAGAGCAGAGUAAGCAUAGGGAGAAAGUGGAGGAAAAAGAUAAGCUAGGAACUAAUACAAUACGCAAAUGUGACGCUAAAUUAUGUGAUUGAGUGGGUGGGAUAUUAGCUGUGUGUAUGGUUGUAUAGAUAGAAUGUAUGGCAAAGAUUUUACAACUAAGUAUGGAUUCUUAUAAAAAUGACAGGAACGAAACUAAUUCUUUGCUUAGUAAGAAGGAAAAAAAAACGUUUCAUUGUUGCUUACUUACCAGUGUUAGAGCCAUGGUUAAGAAAUACUAGUGGUCCCAGUUUACAAACUUUAAGAUAUUCUACUUCCUAUCAAGAGAGAGAGAGAGAGAGAGAGAGAGAGAGAGAGAGAGAGAGAGAGAGAGAGAGAGAGAGACUUGGUGUAAAUAUCUGUGGAAAAUAUUGUAUAAAUUAUUCUUUUUGGGUGUAAGUUUGAGCUUGGGCAGUGCAAUGUUGAGAAUUGCGCGUGACGUGGAGAGAUAACAUAUUUCUGAAGCGCUUUUCACUCUCACCACGACUAUUUUCAUGAUCUGCUGGGUUCUCAAUACUGUUUCUGCUGUUAAUAAUAUAGAAAUUUUGUUAAUCUGUCACUGGAACCACGCAAAAAGAAAGAAAACACUCUUAAAAACCGGUGUCACAUCAACAGAACCUUUUGAAAGUAGAGGUGUGGCCAGAAGUGUUUCAAGAUACAACUUCCCGUCAAAAAUGCAUUGAUUUACCUGUUAGUCAGCUCGUCAAUCCAUAUCUAUCCUGUGUCUAUCCGUCCACCUCGCACGUGUGAGGAGCUAUGCAUAGAACAGGUGGCCUGUACAGAUAUUACAAUAAUCUAGUACCCCACUAACACCUCUGACGUGCGGCUGCCAAAUGUCUCACAAAUAGUGGGAGACGAGUAGGGCUGGGAGAGUGAGGUGUAAAUAAAGAGUUGGCAACACUGGUUGUAAAGCGUCGAGAGAGAGAGAGAGAGAGAGAGAGAGAGAGAGAGUAUACAGUGGGACGAGAGGCCUUGAGGGUUGAAGCGGUUCCGACCGUUUGCAGCUCUCAGUGCGGUGGCGACUUUGAGGAAGUGAGGUAGUGUGUGUGUGUGAUCUCUCGCCUGCCUGCCACACUGCCUGCUGCAUCCUUGCUUUAUUCAGAAGGAGAACAUGGCGCCACUAGCAACGAUUGAAACUAUCUCUGUUGUUCGACCUCUUAAGGUGAGUGCGUGUGUGCGUACGUGCGUUUGGUACCGGGAAUGACCAGCACCAGGUAAAGUCUUGUCUCAUCUUUAAUUAGGGAGCCCUCAGGUGUGCGGACGGUCAUUAAGAUUGGCCAGGUAAGGAGAUGUAAGGAAUUGUCUUGUGUGUUUUUAAUUGGUGUUUUGUAAAGUUACAGUAAGAGAGAGAGAGAGAGAGAGAGAGAGAGAGGUGGGGACGACUGAGGGUGAAAACAAAAAAAAUAUGAAGUAAAAGAGAGAAAAAUGUGAAUUGAUGAUAAAAAUGCAAGGAAUGAGAAACUAAAAAAUAAAAUUAAGAAAGGGAGGAAUAAAGAGAAAAUAAAAAAGGGAAAAUAAAGAUAAAGGAGUAAAACAAGGAACCGAGACAAGAAAUAAAUAACGAGAAUAGCAAUAAUGAUGAUAAUAAUAGUGUGU